GGCUCAGAACGAACGCUGGCGGCGCGUUUAAGCAUGCAAGUCGAGCGGUACUACCCUUCGGGGUAGCUAGAGCGGCGAACGGGUGAGUAACACGUAGAUUAUCUGCCUUGAGGUUGGGGAUAGCCUGUGGAAACACAGGGUAAUACCGAAUAAGCCCUAUGGGGGAAAGGUGCUAAGGCACCGCCUUAAGAUGAGUCUGCGGCUCAUUAGUUAGUUGGUGGGGUAACGGCCUACCAAGGCGACGAUGAGUAGCCGGCCUGAGAGGGUGGACGGCCACACUGGGACUGAGACACGGCCCAGACUCCUACGGGAGGCAGCAGCUAAGAAUCUUCCGCAAUGGGCGCAAGCCUGACGGAGCGACGCCGCGUGAACGAAGAAGGCCGUGAGGUUGUAAAGUUCUUUUCUUACUGAAGAAUAACCGUUGCAGGGAAUGGCAGCGGGAUGACGUUAGGUAAGGAAUAAGCCCCGGCUAAUUACGUGCCAGCAGCCGCGGUAACACGUAAGGGGCAAGCGUUGUUCGGAAUUAUUGGGCGUAAAGGGCGUGUAGGCGGUUUUACAAGUCUGGUGUGAAAUACCGCAGCUUAACUGCGGGGACGCGCUGGAAACUGUAAGACUAGAGUACAGGAGGGGGACCUGGAAUUCCUGGUGUAGGGGUGAAAUCUGUAGAUAUCAGGAAGAACACCGGUGGCGAAGGCGAGGUCCUGGCCAUGUACUGACGCUGAGGCGCGAAAGCGUGGGGAGCGAACAGGAUUAGAUACCCUGGUAGUCCACGCCGUAAACGAUGUGCACUAGGUGCUUGGGG
rnacentral:rRNA from 1 species